rnacentral:rRNA from 1 species
CUUGGCGACCAUAGCGAUUUGGACCCACCUGAUUCCAUGCCGAACUCAGAAGUGAAACGAAUUAGCGCCGAUGGUAGUGUGGGGCUUCCCCAUGU